UUUAGUAUUCAAAACUUGGUGGUUGCUAUCGAGCAAGCUAUAGGUCGAGGCUGGCCGCGAUGCAGACGACGCCGGGCACAGCGGUGACGUUCUCCGGCCAGAUCCGGUCGAGGAGGCGCGGCAGGGGCCGGAUCCGGAUCCGGUGGCAGGGACGGCGUGGAGGCAAUCUAGGAGGCGCGUGAGGAGGUCCAGCGGCGGGGCUUGAACUUCAAGUUCAUGGCGGCGGUGUUCCUCGCCGGUUCCAAGCGAGAUGGCGAGUUCUGGUUGGGUCUCUCCAUGGCGACGGUGGCGGGGCGCGAGGAGAGGUCGGGAGGUCCUGGCGGUGCCCGACCCCUGCGCGGGGGUGGGGAUGAGGUGCACGGCGGCAGGCGGCAUCAACUCUCCUGCGUGCGGCCAGAAAGAGAGGGAGAGAGAGAUGAGAGAGAGAGCCAGGAGGAAGAAGGGAAGGAAGGAGGCUUGAGGAAGGGGCGGCCGGAUCCUGCGAGGCUGGGUUGGAGCCCCGGUGGUCGUGCUGCUGCUGUUGGACGGCGGCCGAUGGGACAAGUCCCUAGGUAGAAUAUUGAUCCCUUGGCAUCUCCUACUCUUGAGCUUAGGUGCAGCAGCAAUAUUUCGUGGUGACUACCACAUGAACUACACUUUCAUAUGGUUCAUCGCCUUCUUCGAGAGCAUAUUGAUCAAGAAGUGGACUAUAAGGUGAUUGUUUUCUGCACAGCAGCCAUGGUGACUGAAUUUAUGUAUAUAAUGCUUCGAGAUCUGAAACUAAACGUCAGAGAGAUAAAUUCAAGAAAGCCUCAGCUUUAUAGGACACGUAUAUCUGAAGAGUUACGGGAUUCCAAUCGCCUGAUUCUGGUAACAUCAGAUGUUUCAACACGUGGAGUGAAUUAUCCAUAUGUUACCCCGCCCAUUGGGAAGAUCCUAUGUCACAGCCAUCGGCCUUGUGUCUGGAGCCCCUUGCAGGUGUACUACCGGCACAAACUCUCCAGCGCGGGCAGCACAAGGAAUUUGGUUUGGGCCCUCAUCUGUAGGUCAUGACGGCUGAUGUUGUCCUCUUCUGCUAUGACGUUGAUGUUAAAUCCCUUCCUCCAAGUUGCAGGUCAAACAUUGUGUGAUACACCAAAGGAUGUAUUUAUGGAGGAAAUUGAUGUUCAGGAUGCCUGAGUUGGAUUGGGCUCAUGCCACAUUGAUUGAGAAGAUUGUAUACCUCACAUAUUGCACGAGACCUACUGAUGCCACCUGCUGUUGCCACAUCAAUUUCAUAUAGUCUGACAAGCUUAUCCUGAAUAACAGGUAGAUGGUGAAAAGCAAUGACAGAAAGCAGCACCUUUUUGUUUCUCAAGCUCACAGAAGACUUAUUUUAACUACUGGCUUGAUUCGGUGUCUCCUUCAUGUUCUGCCAACAAGACUUCUUGCACUAAAAUUAACUGAUUCUGUGAAACCAUUGUGUACAUCAUUUGUAAACUGGUGCGUAGUGGUAUGUUUGACCCAGCUCAUAUCUUUUGUCAGUGACACUAAUGACUUCUUGCAAAGUGAAGACAUGUAACCAUUUUUUUGGCUUUAAUGUUCCCUAUUUAAUAUACCAGCCACCUCCUAAACUUUUUGGUGCAUUAGGGGUGGGUUAUGCAGAAAUCUAGCGGAAGAAAUCUGAGUUCAGUCAAAGUUCUAUAUCCUUGCCAUAAACAACAAUUUAUUUCUUCCGGCUUUCUAUGAAGCGUUAGCAUGACUCCCAUCUUGCAUUGACCAUGUAAAUCUUCAUCUCGUGAUUUUGGCCAGGCCACUGAACGAAACAAACGCCUCUAGAAAGGACGACCGUAAAACUUAUCCGAGGUUAUGGAGACCUUUGACAUGAUGGUGGGCGAGCUGGGAAGCUCCUUGUAAGAAUUCAGAAGUCACCCACUCAUGGCGGAGAGCUACGGCAAGGCCGGAUGGGCCGUGGCCCGCCUAGGCACUGAAG